CCACCUGGGAAGCCCCAAUGGAAACACCAGGCUUCAGGACGCCAGAUCUUGACUGGAGCUGUUAUCUCUGCCCGAAUGCCCUUCCCUCCAGACCUGUCAGCACAGGCAAACAGCCGCACAGACUCCUAGGAGCAGAAACAAAAGGAAUCUCUCUGAAGGCUUAAUCAACCUCUGCAACAGAAAUUAAAAUUGGGAAGAGGGGCUCUUCCCCUCCUCAGGGACCUUCCCCUAGCGGAAAUGGGGCUUCCAAGGAAUUGGGAGACCUGAGCUCUUGUGUUGCCCUCUAACUGGGAGACCCCAAGUACAUCAUCAUCCACCUUCCCCACUUUCAUCAGCCCAAUUCCUGCCUUACCAUCCUUACAAGCUGGUUUUGAAGAUCAAAUAAUACUGUAAAUGAAUGAAGUUCAUGAAAAUGUAGUGCCAUGCUAAGUCA